UGGGAGUCAGGGCAGGGCCAUGCCUUAAACUCUGCAGGGGCAGAGCCACGUCCCCGCCAGCGCCGCGCUGCCCCGGGGCGAGGGCGCGCCGAGAGCAGGAGCAUCGCGGAAAGUCCCUUCUGGAGGUGCCAGCACCAGCACGGGAGACAGUCGGAGCUGUCCUCGUGUCUCGUGGCACCGAGCUGCCACCUGCCCCUGUUUCUGCCCCACCGAGGAGGGCCCGGUGCCAUCCCGGUUGCAACGGGAGCACCGCGGGGCUGGGGCUGACGUACCCCGGCUGGGCGAUACCUUGGAACAAAAGGUUGGGAGUUGAAUAUUGCACCAGGAAAACAACCCGCUGGAAACCUGCCACCCUUCGUAAAUAAACAGGGGACGAGCCCCGACAAGUGCAGCUCGCAGCUCCGGUGACACAACCUCCAGCCUUUCCCCGUGCCCUUCCACAUCACCGUGCGUGCGGGCGAGCAUCCUCCCUCCUGCGCUCUCCGGAGGCAGGAGACCGGCACUGUACCCGGGAGACCCUUCCACGGGGGGAUGCCCCUAGAAAAACCCAUAAACUGUAGGAGCCCCCAGUCCCCCAGGAGGUGACACGGAGUGCAGGGAACACGCUCAGCCCCUCCGAGAGGAGUGAAACACUGCCUUUGCUGCCAGGUCUCGGGCCAGGCGGAGGAAGGGAGACGCGAGGAGGGACCGGGACGUGCCCGGGUUUGCCCGUGCCCCGGGGAUGCUCCACCCGGCCGGGAGAGCUCGGAGCUGCGGCUCCGGCCCCGCUGCAGCAGCACCACGAACCACAGGGCCAGGGGCCCCGAAACAUGUCCCCAUCCCCUCCUACCCCCCUGCCCAUUCAGCAGCAACACCCACCUCCCCUUUUUAUGCCCGCAGGUGACGGCCAGGCCAGGCGAGAGCCAGCGCAUCCCCGGCUGGCAACAGCCCAGCGGCGGGCGGUGGGAACGUGGAGGUGCGUGCACCUGCCCGUGGCCCCGGGCAGGAACGCGGCGCUGCAAGGGGGGGAAACGGGGGCUGGAUGGGGGAGCAGCGUCCUCCGUCU
rnacentral:lncRNA from 1 species